rnacentral:rRNA from 1 species
UACGGAGGAUGCAAGCGUUAUCCGGAAUCAUUGGGCGUAAAGCGUCCGCAGGUGGUGAUGCAAGUCUAUUGUCAAAGAGCGAGGCUCAACCUCGUCAAGGCGGUGGAAACUGCAAACACUAGAGUGCGGUAGGAGUAGAGGGAAUUCCCAGUGUAGCGGUGAAAUGCGUAGAUAUCGGAAGGAACACCAGUGGCGAAAGCGGCUUCCUGGUCCAGCACCGACGUUCAGGCACGAAAGCGUGGGGAGCAAACAGG